CCUGCCAGUAGUCAUAUGCUUGUCAUAAAGAUUAAGCCAUGCAUGUCUAAGUAUAAGCUUCUAUACGGUGAAACUGCGAAUGGCUCAUUAAAACAGUUAUAGUUUAUUUGAUGGUCAUUUUUUACAUGGAUAACCGUGGUAAUUCUAUGGCUAAUACAUGCGCACAUGCUUCUUCCUCUGGAAGUGCAGUGUUUAUUAGAUACAAAACCAGCCCACCCCUCGGGGUGGCCCCUAGGUGAGUCAUAGUAACCGAACGAAUCGCAUUUUAUGGCUUCGGCCGGCGAUAGAUCAUUCAAGUUUCUGACCUAUCAGCUUUCGACGGUAGGGUAUUGGCCUACCGUGGCAGUGACGGGUAACGGGGAAUUAGGGUUCGAUUCCGGAGAGGGAGCCUGAGAAACGGCUACCACAUCUAAGGAAGGCAGCAGGCGCGCAAAUUACCCAAUGACAACACUGUUGAGGUAGUGACAUGAAAUAACAAUACAGGGCAUUUUUUGCUUUGUAAUUGGAAUGAUGGGAAUCCAAACCCCUUUCAGAGUAACAAUUGGAGGGCAAGUCUGGUGCCAGCAGCCGCGGUAAUUCCAGCUCCAAUAGCGUAUAUUAAAGUUGUUGCAGUUAAAACGCUCGUAGUUGGAUUUCUGCUGGGGGUCGGUUUGGUCCGCCUCC
rnacentral:rRNA from 1 species